ensembl:lncRNA
GUAGAUUAGACUGUGGGGUGAUGGUCCGGCUGGUAGAUUAGACUGUGGGGUGAUGGUCCGGCUGGUAGAUUAGUGCCCCUAGUUCCAUGUAUCAACACAUUAUUUCAGUUGUAUUAAAACCAGGAACAUGUGGAAAGUCCCCUACUGAGUACAGACCCAUAAGUUUAAUACACUGUGACAAAAUAGUAACAAAGCUCAUGAGCAAUAGAAUGACAACAGUCUUACCUGAUACAUAUCAAUCAAACAGGGUUUAUUCAAAUUAGACACAAACUAAUACAUGUUUCAGUUUAAAACAAUACGCAAAAAGAUAUGGAUUUAUCAAUAAUGGCUGUUGGUCAAAGGCUGAAUGACCAUUUCUAUUCAAAACAUCAGAAGCGUUGAACUUUCCGGCAAAAAUAAUACAUUUGAUAAAAAUAUGAUAUAAAUGAUAUAUAUUUUUCAAGAUCUUCAUGAAUAAGAAAAAGAUUACAUGGACAGGGGGGACCUGAUCCUAGAUCAGCACUCAUUUUAUGAGGCCCAGUCAAUAACUCUCACAAUCAGACUAUCACGUUUCAGGUAAGACCCAAAUGCAGACUGUUGAAGUAACAAUGUGUAUUAAAGCAGCAAGGGGAAGGAAAACGACAGGUCAAGGCAGGCAGGGGUCGAUAAUCAAGAGUAGGGGCCAAGGUACAGGACUGCAGUCAGGGGUCGAUAAUCAAGAGUAGAGGCCAAGGUACAGGACUGCAGGCAGGGUCAGGACAGGCAAAGGUCAAAACCAGGAGAGCGAGAAAUAGAGACUGGGGAAAAGCAGUAGCUGAUACAAAACGCUGGUUGACUUGACAAACUGGCAACCGACAGAGAACAAGUACCCAGGGGAGAAUGGGGAGAAGUACCCAGGGGAGAAUGGGGAGAGGUACCCAGGGGAGAAUGGGGAGAGGUACCCAGGGGAGAAUGGGCGACACCUGGAGGAGGGUUCGAGACAAGCACAAGGACAGGUGAAACAGAUCAGGGCGUGACACAGACAAGAUAACUUUAUAUAGUAAAUAAAUAGUAAGGUAAGUGUUCUGGGUUGUCGUGGUGAUAACAUGGUGUAAAGGUAGAAACCUCUCCAGCUGUAGAGGGCUUGAACUGUCCCUAGCUACCCUCUAGGCUGUAGGGGGCUUGAACUGUCCCUAGCUACCCUCUAGGCUGUAGGGGGCUUGAACUGUUCCUAGCUACCCUCUAGGCUGUAGGGGGCUUGAACUGGGCCAACUGUCCCUAGCUACCCUCUAGGCUGUAGAGGGCUUAAACUGUCCCUAGCUACCCUCUAGGCUGUAGAGGGCUUGAACUGUCCCUAGCUACCCUCUAGGCUCUAGAGGGCUUGAACUAGGCCAACUGUCCCUAGCUACCCUCUGGGCUGUAGAGGGCUUGAACUAGGCCAACUGUCCCUAGCUACCCUCUGGGCUGUAGAGGGCUUGAACUGUCCCUAGCUACUCUCUAGGCUGUAGAGGGCUUGAACUGUCCCAAGCUACCCUCUAGGCUGUAGAGGGCUUGAACUGUCCCUAGCUACUCUCUAGGCUGUAGGGGGCUUGAACUGGGCCAACUGUCACUAGCUACCCUCUAGGCUGUAGAGGGCUUGAACUGUCCCUAGCUACUCUCUAGGCUGUAGGGGGCUUGAACUGGGCCAACUGUCACUAGCUACCCUCUAGGCUGUAGAGGGCUUGAACUGGGCCAACUGUCACUAGCUACCCUCUAGGCUGUAGGGGGCUUGAACUGUCCCAAGCUACCCUCUAGGCUGUAGAGGGCUUGAACUGUCCCUAGCUACCCUCUAGGCUGUAGGGGGCUUGAACUAGGCCAACUGUCCCAAGCUACCCUCUAGGCUGUAGGGGGCUUGAACUGUCCCUAGCUACCCUCUAGGCUGUAGAGGGCUUGAACUGGGCCAACUGUCACUAGCUACCCUCUAGGCCGUCAUUGUAAAUAAUAAUUUGUUGUUAAUUAACUUGCCUAGUUAAAUAAAAGGUUAAAAUUAAACUUGUGCUCAUAAAAAUAUAAUGAUAUAUUGCUUGUACAGGGUUGGGGGAACAUAUGCCAGGGCUAGUGUGUGGGUGCAGGCUUUGGUUCUAGCCAAUCAGUUGAUUAGUAA